rnacentral:lncRNA from 1 species
UUUUUUUUUUCUUUUUUUGCUUUUUAGGGCUGCACCCACAGCACAUGGAAGUUCCCAGUCUAGGGGUCCAAUCAGAGCUGUAGCUGCUGGCCUACACCACAGCCACAGCAACACAGGAUCUGGGCUGCAUCUGUGACCUACACCACAGGUCACAGCAAUGCCGUCAUCCUUAACCCAUUGAUUGGGGCCAGGGAUUGAACCCGCAUCUUCAGCGAUACAAGUAAGUUUCAAAAACCAUGGGAAUGCCAAAUUAAGUCUUCUUCUUCUUUUUUUUUUUUUUGUCUUUUUGCCAUUUCUUGGGCUGCUCCCACGGCAUAUGGGGUUCCAGGCCAGGGAUCGAACCUGAGCCAUAGCAGUGAUAAUGUCAAGUCCUUAACCACUUAGGCCACCAGGGAACUCCUAUAUUUCUUGAUCUUGGUCUUGGUCUUGGUCUUGGUCUUGGUCUUGGUCUUGGUCUUGAGACAGCUCCUUCAGGAGUGUCCAGGAGUGACAUCUCCAAUCCCAAUGCUUUAGUGGGUUACUCACUCAGGGUUUACCCCAGCCAUACACUUUUAGUCUGCCCAGGCUGAAAAAGUUUAUCUACUUAUUUAUUUUCUUUUUAGGGCUUUAGCGGCGGCAUAUGGAAGUUCCCAGACUAGGGGCUGAAUUGGAGCUGCAGCAGCCCGCCUAUUCACAGACACUGAAACGUGGGAUCCAAGCCACACAUGCGACAUACGCUACAGCUUGCAGCAACACUGGAUCCUUAACCCACAGAGCGAGGCCAGGGAUCAAAUCCUCAUCCUUAUGGAUACUAGUUGGGUUCUUAAUCCACUGAGCCACAAUGGGAACUCCUUGUCUUUUUUGGGGGGAUUUUCAAAUUUUAAGCAUCUUAUUAUUGUUUCAUUUUUCAGUGCUUCUAAGCCACUCUGGGAUCAUAGCAGUAGCUUUCUCUGCUGGUCUAUGAAGAGCUGUGUCAUCUUGGGCAGGUUACUUGACCUCUCCUUGUCUCAAUUUCCUUAUCUGCACCCCGAGGAUAAUAACAGCCCCCACCUCACAGGGCUGGAGUCAGGGGUAAGUAAGUGACCAUGCAAAGCCCUUAGAAUAGUCAUGGUACUUGGUACAGCUAUGACACACCUUGGCUACUUAUCAAAAGAUCUAAUAAGACAUGAACCUUUUCUCUUAGAGUCAUAGAACUGGCCAUUUUGAUAUCUCCAGAAUACUGAUAUUCGCCCAUCUUGAGUGCAGCAGACAUAUUUCUAAGCAAAGUCCCUUUUUGUACUGUAUCUACAAUACUAUUCCCAUAAGGGCCAUUUCUUAUGGUCAAAGGGAGACAUCAAGGCCCACUGUAAACUGGGUGAAUGACAGGUAGAUGGAGAGCUGAGGACCUAUGUCAAGGCCAAGAGAAAGCUCCUCUUCUCAGCUUGGGGUAGGGGCACGAACACAGCAGAGGGCCUUGCUGGGAGCUCUCUGGUGCCCACGGUUUAUCCUAAUCCAAACUCAAAGGGGGAGCAUCCUAGGACAGUGUCAUGUUGCCCCAACAGUCUGCCCAAUCCUACUACAGCAAAAGGCUGCCUGGACAAUCUUUCUCAUAAAGAGAUCUUGGCCAAGACAAUUCACACCUCCACUCACCAGCUCCACUUCCAUCUCUGCACUUUGUGGCACACUGUUGAAGAUCACAGAAUGGUUCUUGGGUUCUGUAAAGAAGCAUGAGCCCUUGAGCUUCCGACCCCACCCCAGGGCCCCUGGCUGACCUCUGACCUCUGACCUCACACUUGGUAAUCUGCUUUCUGCUCUUACAGUGGUAGUUACCCAGCUUGCCUCCAGAUGGCCAGAUUCCAUCACCAAGCCUAGUGGAACUUCAGAGCUGGGAGAACUUUAACUCCAAACAGCACAGCGGCCACAUAAAUUCCUCAAAUAUGCACCCCCAAACAAAAGAGUCCCUGAGGAUUCAGUUUAUCUCACCAAGUUUGAGCUGAGGGAAAAACAUUCUCAUGGCACGUAAGGAAAGCUGUCAGAGAACUGUUUUGCUCCACAUCAAAUGCAUUCCAGGCCUUAUCUAAUCAGGGAGUCUUCUUCACAGCUGAUGCAGAGGCUGCUCCUGCAAAUUGUUCCCGAGCCAAGGAGAAGGGCCUUGAUUUUAAACCCCAAAUAAUGGUUCUUUUGGCACAGGCAGAGUUGGCUGGCAGCUGGAGGUUUGGAGUGACCCCUGACCCCUCUCCCACAGUUUCUCCUGAGUCCCGCUGCACAAGACUAAGCCAUCGUCAAACCCCAGGCUCUAAUUGGCUCUGGUUUUGUUUUGCUUUUCUCUUCUAUCCAGAGCUUCAAAAGGCACUUCCAUAAUUGUCUGAGGCAUAAAAAAGGCAGGUUUCAGCUUUCCUAACUGGAAUUGGAGGUAAUUACUGUCUUGCACACACGAGCCGGUACAUGCUUCAAAUCAGAUGGCCCUGGGUUGUUUCAUAAAGUGUAGCUGGGCCUCUGAGCUAGGAGAGGGAGGAUUGUGGAACCUUCCAAAGGCUUUGUUCCAGAGCGAGAAGAAUUUGAACAUCUCCGAAAUGGUGAGGGGCAUUUCUGUCUUCUUUUGCAGUCACCAUAAGCUCUAUCCAAGAGGUCUGGCCUCCAAAGUUUGUGUCCUUGACCUCAUUCUAGAAAAUGCAGGAGCCCAUUUCUUGGUCCUCUGGCUGAAGAGACAGAAGCUGACACCCCACAUAACUCCCACCUUAUUUGUGAUCAGCCCUUAUGGGCUUGGCCUGGGCCAUCCUCCUGUGAAACCUCAAGCCAGGGCCAACCCAAGCCAGGCAUAGUAAGAGCCACCUGGGAGAACUCGGCUGGGGUUCAUUUCUGUACUCUCAGGACAGCAAGCCCAAACAAAGAGUCUCAGGCUCACGUCCCAGCCACACCCCCCUGAAUAAGACCCUGUUUCACUUCUCAGCCUACCAGCCGCACUGGCUGUGUGUCCACAGGCAUCGGACUCACAGGGCCAGUCUUCCAUGGCGUCACCUCUAGAACGAGAACUGUGAUUGGCCCAGUCUCACAGGGUUGCUAUGACAUCUAAACGAGGUCAACAUGUAAAGUGCCUGACGCAGUACCUCCAUGUAGUCAGUGCUCAAUUUGUGUCGGCUCCUCUUAGCUAACGUAUUUACCAGGGGCCUGGCCAUGGUGCCAAAGGACCCACUCUGAAAAUGGCGGAGGCUUUCAAGACUCUAGGGAUUCAGAAAUGGAAGAAGAAAACAGCUGCUGCAUAAACAAUGGAAGGAAGAUGGAGCAGGAGCCGAGGGACAGCCCCUCAACCCCACCCUUCAAAAUGUCUUCCCUCUCUAAGGUGGCCAGGUCUCCUGAAAUUCCACAGACGACAGAUUUAGUUUUUGCCUUUUCUCAACAGUGUAUCUCAGUGAGGACUAGCUGGUUAAACAGCAUCCACACAUCAGUGUGAACCGGUUAACUUUCUUCCUGACACUGACCCACUUAGCAUCUCCGAGGGGCCAAGGAACCUGGGACCAGGGAAGAAAGACACAACAACAGAGUCAUGAAACACUGUCUGGGACAAAGCCAGUUGUUUAUAGUCUGAGAGCACUCGUCUGAUCCAUUUGCAGGCCCACAGCCUCAUGGGACAAGAACAGGUGGGAGUCACGUGUUUUCCGGGUGCUGAAUUGCUUUUCUGGUUUUGCUCUUUGCAUGUUAUUGGCUCCAAAGUGCAACUGACCACCCUUUUCAAAUGGCUUCCAGGACUCCUGCCUCCUCCUCUGCCUCGGAGAGCUCCAUACUGGCAGCCCAGGGCGCAGGCCCCAGACCCUGCCUCUCCUCUUAAACACCAUUCCUAAAUGAUUGCACUGGGACCUUCUAAUGAGGACUCCAGGCUGCUUCCGUGCUGCUGACUCCCAAGCCAACUUCUCUCCUGAUUUGGGAAAGAAAUUCAGUUGCCUACUUGACAUCUCCUUUCAAGUGUCCCCACCUGAACUCUCAACAACCCUUUAUCCUUACCCCAUACCUCCAAAAAUAACCAAAAAAACCAUCAAUAAGAUUUCCGUGUAAAUGUUCUCUCUGUGGAUGACCUUUACAACAGUUGACCUUUCUCUUUGUACCAUGUACUUUUCUUUCAUAGCCUUUAGGACAAUAUAUAAUCACAUAUUUAUUUCUGUAUUGUGUAUACUACCUGUCUCCCAAUAGACUUUACACCGACAAGGAUGAGAGAAGGGGCCAUCUGCUUCCUGUUCUUCCCCCACACCCAGCCUAGUGCCUGACACACAGCAGGUCCUUACUAGACAGUUGCUGAAUGAAUG